GGCGUUUCCUUCAAGGCUGCCCACCAGAAGGACCUGCCCGAGAGGGUAGAGGGCAUAGGGUCCAAGAUCAAGAUAAGGCAGCUCCAGCCCCUGGAAGGCCAGAGACUUGCCAGUGUCCCACUAGCGGGCUCUUCGCAAGAAUCCCCCCGGGCCCGCCGCACCCAGGCGGCGGCCGGCAGAGGGCGCUGCUCGGGCAUGGCGGAGGAGCGGCCGGGGGCCUGGUUCGGCUUCGGUUUCUGCGGCUUCGGGCAGGAGCUGGGCUCCGGACGCGGGCGCCAGGUGCACAGCCCCAGUCCGCUGCGGGCGGGCGUCGACAUCUGCCGCGUGAGCGCGAGCUGGAGCUACACCGCCUUCGUGACCCGUGAGCACUCCCCGCCCCGUCCCCACUUAUUCCAGCCGCGCUCCCCAGUCGCCUCCCCGCACCGCUGUGGCCAGUCCAGUUUGUCUCCCCCGUUCAGGCCGCCAGCCCCACAUUCUGGGUUGGUUCCCAAUUCGACCCCUUCCCAGGAACACCCCGCUCCCCACACCCCCGCCGCCUCCAUUCUGGCCACCCUGCUCCAAUCCGCCCCGCAGGUGGAGGCCGCUUGGAGCUGUCGGGCUCAGCCAGCGGCGCGGCGGGCCGCUGCAAGGACGCGUGGGCCUCGGAGGGGCUCCUCGCGGUGCUGCGCGCCGGGCCGGGGCCGGGGCCGGGGCCGGAGGCGUUACUGCAGGUCUGGGCGGCCGAAUCGGCGCUGCGUGGGGAGCCAUUGUGGGCCCAGAAUGUGGUGCCCGAGGCCGAAGGGGAAGACGAUCCGGCCGGUGAGGCCCAGGCUGGGAGGCUACCCCUGCUGCCCUGCGCCCGUGCCUACGUGAGCCCGCGGGCGCCCUUCUACCGGCCUCUGGCUCCGGAGCUGCGGGCACGCCAGCUGGAGCUGGGCGCCGAGCACGCGUUGCUGCUGGACGCUGCUGGACAGGUGUUCUCCUGGGGCGGGGGCAGGCAUGGACAGCUGGGCCAUGGGACCCUGGAGGCAGAGCUGGAGCCACGGCUGUUGGAGGCGUUGCAGGGCCUAGUCAUGGCUGAGGUGGCCGCGGGGGGCUGGCAUUCUGUGUGUGUGAGUGAGACUGGGGAUAUUUAUAUCUGGGGCUGGAAUGAAUCAGGGCAGCUGGCCCUGCCCACCAGGAACCUGGCAGAGGAUGGAGAGACUGUCGCAAGGGAAGCCACAGAACUGAAUGAAGAUGGUUCUCAGGUGAAGAGAACGGGUGGGGCUGAGGAUGGAGCCCCUGCCCCCUUCAUAGCUGUCCAGCCCUUCCCGGCAUUACUGGAUCUCCCCAUGGGCUCAGAUGCAGUCAAGGCCAGCUGUGGAUCCCGGCACACAGCUGUGGUGACACGAACAGGGGAGCUCUACACCUGGGGCUGGGGUAAAUAUGGACAGCUGGGCCACGAGGACACCACCAGCUUGGAUCGGCCUCGCCGUGUGGAAUACUUUGUAGACAAGCAACUCCAAGUAAAGGCUGUCACCUGUGGGCCGUGGAACACCUACGUGUAUGCUGUGGAGAAAGGGAAGAGCUGACAUGUGUACGUAUAUGUAUAUACAACACCUGUGAGACCCCCAUUCAGGUCAAGGAAAACCAUUGCCUGCACCCCAAGGGCCCCAUAUUUGCCCCUCCCCAUCACAGUCCUGCCCUUCACCCUCAAGCACGGUCCUAAACUUGUCUGCACUUUAGAAACACCUGGAGAGCAUUGAAAACUCUGCUGCCUAAGGUCAGCAUCAAUCAAAACAAUGAAAUCAAUGAAACAAUGAAACCAGAGCCUCUAGGUGUGUGGCCUGGAUAGUGGUAGAUUCAAAGCUCCACCCACCUCAUCCCAGGUACAUUUGAUGUGCAGCUGAGAUUGGGGCACAUUCCGGGUCAUCGUCUUCUGUCAGUCAUUUCCCUGCUUUCGUUUGAAUUUUACCAUUCUUGUAUGCAGCCUUAUAUGACAUAGUUGUGUUUGCUUUUGAGUGUUAGAUAAAUGGAAUCCUGUGUAUGUGCUUUUGUGUCGUUUUUGUCACUCAGCAUUGUAUGAUCCAUCCUUGUUGGGUCCUGGAGUUCAUUUUUAAUGCUAUAUGGUGUUCUGUUGUAUGAAUAAUACCUCAAGUGAUACA
rnacentral:sRNA from 1 species